CGGUGUGAAGACACAGGAAUACGACAUAACAACAGAUACAGAGCCUGGAGUAAUGACAGUACAAGUCAAGGAACACCAAGGAUCACCAGCUGCCACCCAACCCAGGAAGAGGAUUUUGCUCCUCAAGUCAUUGUACUUUGGUACCUACGAAUUUCAACCUUGUCCUUCAUACCCCGUGGGUGUGAAGAUUCCUGGCAGGACUCUAUUUCCACGCUGCAACUAGUAUCUUUCAGAGCCACCCGGUGAAUGGAACUGAAAUGCUACAGGAGUUUGCUUUGGGAUGCUGCAGUGCUGCUAAUGGCUGAGGGCAUCACUGAGAUGUUCUGUAACUCACUGCAGGCGAGAUGCCGCUUCAGUAUCCCAUACCUUUGGCUGCUCUUCGUCUACUAUACCUCCUCACACUUCUCCCAGUCACCUUUCCAGCAGCUGUGAUUCCAGCUGAUUUUGGCCACCCACAUUGAUCUGGACAGGAUGCCUCUCAGAUGGAGUCUCCUCAGCCGCCCAGGUUGGAGUGCAGUGGCGUGAUCUCAGCUCACUGCAACCACUGUCUCCCGGGUUCAAUAGAUUCUCCCAACUCAGCCUCCCGAGUAGCUGGGAUUACAGGCACCUGCCAUCAUGCCUGGCUAAUUAGAGAAUAACUUUUUACAGGAC
rnacentral:lncRNA from 1 species